UGCCGCGUGUGUGAAGAAGGCCUUCGGGUUGUAAAGCACUUUUGUCCGGAAAGAAAUCCUUGGCUCUAAUACAGUCGGGGGAUGACGGUACCGGAAGAAUAAGCACCGGCUAACUACGUGCCAGCAGCCGCGGUAAUACGUAGGGUGCGAGCGUUAAUCGGAAUUACUGGGCGUAAAGCGUGCGCAGGCGGUUUGCUAAGACCGAUGUGAAAUCCCCGGGCUCAACCUGGGAACUGCAUUGGUGACUGGCAGGCUAGAGUAUGGCAGAGGGGGGUAGAAUUCCACGUGUAGCAGUGAAAUGCGUAGAGAUGUGGAGGAAUACCGAUGGCGAAGGCAGCCCCCUGGGCCAAUACUGACGCUCAUGCACGAAAGCGUGGGGAGCAAACAGGAUUAGAUACCCUGGUAGUCCACGCCCUAAACGAUGUCAACUAGUUGUUGGGGAUUCAUUUCCUUAGUAACGUAGCUAACGCGUGAAGUUGACCGCCUGGGGAGUACGGUCGCAAGAUUAAAACUCAAAGGAAUUGACGGGGACCCGCACAAGCGGUGGAUGAUGUGGAUUAAUUCGAUGCAACGCGAAAAACCUUACCUACCCUUGACAUGGUCGGAAUCCUGCU
rnacentral:rRNA from 1 species